rnacentral:rRNA from 1 species
UACGUAGGGGCCAAGCGUUGUCCGGAUUUAUUGGGCGUAAAGAGCUCGUAGGCGGUUCGGCAAGUCAGCUGUGAAAUCUCCACGCUCAACGUGGAGGGGUCAGCUGAUACUGCUGUGACUCGAGUCCGGUAGGGGAGUGUGGAAUUCCUGGUGUAGCGGUGAAAUGCGCAGAUAUCAGGAAGAACACCUAUGGCGAAGGCAGCACUCUGGGACGGUACUGACGCUGAGGUGCGAGAGCGUGGGGAGCGAACCGG